AUGGCGGAAUGCUUCAAUAGGGUGCUCAAAGGUGCACGUGGAUUACCCGUGACGGCAAUAGUUCAAUACACAUUUGACAAGAUGAAUGCGUACUUUGUAAAGUACUCGAUGGAAACCGAUGCACAAAUAGCGGGUGAGAACCCACGGAAGUACAAGUACAAGUUCCCACCCAAAGUUGAUGAAUGGUUGGUAUUUCAAUCACGGAAGGCGGACUCAGAAGAAGAUAUAUUAUAUGACAAUGAAGAGUGGAAGUACGAAGUGAAAGAGCCAGGAGGAACCACAAACGAUGGCCGGCAACAUGGAGGUCGGGCUUUCAAGGUGUCGUUAACACAAUGUGAUUGCACUUGCGGGAGGCCGUUGUUGCUUCAUCUCCCAUGCUCACACUUGUAUACCGCCGGUCGCGUUAGGAAUGUGGACAUCAAUCACCCACGCACCGUGAGGGAGUCGGAGUUCUCAAUCAUGACAGUCAAGAAAACAUGGGCUCCCCGCUUUCACCCGUACUUUGACCAAUCACAAUGGCCGGAGUAUCAUGGAGUUCAACUAUGGCCGGAUCCG
rnacentral:rRNA from 1 species